UGAUUGGAUUCGUCGGUAGAGCAUGAGACUCAAUCUCAGGGUUGUGGGUUCAAGCCCCACUUUGAAAG